rnacentral:rRNA from 1 species
CGGAGAGGGCGCAUGAGACGAGGAUCCAGGUCUUACGGGGCGCAGCAGGCGCGGAAACUCCGCAAUGCGCGAAAGCGUGUCGGGGUCACCCCGAGUGUAACCUGCUGAAGGUAACUUUUCCUCAGUCUAACCAGCUGAGGGUAACAAGGGGAGGGCAAGUCUGGUGUCAGCCGCCGCGGUAAUACCAGCUCCCCGAGUGGUAAGGACGAUUAUUGGGCCUAAAGCGUCCGUAGCUGGCUUGAUAAGUUUCCCGUUAAAUCCGGCGAUCCAAUCGUCGGGCUGCGGGAAAUACUGUUAAGCUAGGAGGCGGGAGAGGCCGGCGGUACUUUUGGGGUAGGGGUGAAAUCCUAUAAUCCCAAGAGGACCACCAGUGGCGAAGGCGACCGGCCAGAACGCACUCGACGGUGAGGGACGAAAGCUGGGGGAGCAAACCGGAUUAGAUACCCGGGUAGUCCCAGCUGUAAACGAUGCGGGCUAAGUGUCGGGAUGGCCAUAGAGCCAUCUCGGUGCUGCAGGGAAGCCGUUAAGCCCGCCGCCUGGGGAGUACGGCCGCAAGGUUGAAACUUAAAGGAAUUG